rnacentral:rRNA from 1 species
UACGUAGGGUGCGAGCGUUUAAUCGGAAUUACUGGGCGUAAAGCGUGCGCAGGCGGUUCGUUGUGUCUGAUGUGAAAGCCCCGGGCUCAACCUGGGAAUGGCAUUGGAAACUGGCGAGCUAGAGUGUGGCGAGAGGGGGGUGGAAUUCCGCGUGUAGCAGUGAAAUGCGUAGAGAUGCGGAGAACACCGAUGGCGAAGGCAGCCC